rnacentral:rRNA from 1 species
CAAGUCGAGCGGUACAGAUCUAGCUUGCUAGAUGCUGACGAGCGGCGGACGGGUGAGUAAUGCAUAGGAAUCUGCCCGAUAGUGGGGGAUAACCUGGGGAAACCCAGGCUAAUACCGCAUACGUCCUACGGGAGAAAGGGGGCUUCGGCUCCCGCUAUUGGAUGAGCCUAUGUCGGAUUAGCUAGUUGGUAAGGUAAUGGCUUACCAAGGCAACGAUCCGUAGCUGGUCUGAGAGGAUGAUCAGCCACAUCGGGACUGAGACACGGCCCGAACUCCUACGGGAGGCAGCAGUGGGGAAUAUUGGACAAUGGGGGCAACCCUGAUCCAGCCAUGCCGCGUGUGUGAAGAAGGCCCUCGGGUUGUAAAGCACUUUCAGCGAGGAAGAACGCCUGGCGGUUAAUACCCGCCAGGAAAGACAUCACUCGCAGAAGAAGCACCGGCUAACUCCGUGCCAGCAGCCGCGGUAAUACGGAGGGUGCAAGCGUUAAUCGGAAUUACUGGGCGUAAAGCGCGCGUAGGUGGCUUGAUAAGCCGGUUGUGAAAGCCCCGGGCUCAACCUGGGAACGGCAUCCGGAACUGUCAGGCUAGAGUGCAGGAGAGGAAGGUAGAAUUCCCGGUGUAGCGGUGAAAUGCGUAGAGAUCGGGAGGAAUACCAGUGGCGAAGGCGGCCUUCUGGACUGACACUGACACUGAGGUGCGAAAGCGUGGGUAGCAAACAGGAUUAGAUACCCUGGUAGUCCACGCCGUAAACGAUGUCGACCAGCCGUUGGGUGCCUAGAGCACUUUGUGGCGAAGUUAACGCGAUAAGUCGACCGCCUGGGGAGUACGGCCGCAAGGUUAAAACUCAAAUGAAUUGACGGGGGCCCGCACAAGCGGUGGAGCAUGUGGUUUAAUUCGAUGCAACGCGAAGAACCUUACCUACCCUUGACAUCUACAGAAGCCGGAAGAGAUUCUGGUGUGCCUUCGGGAACUGUAAGACAGGUGCUGCAUGGCUGUCGUCAGCUCGUGUUGUGAAAUGUUGGGUUAAGUCCCGUAACGAGCGCAACCCUUGUCCUUAUUUGCCAGCACGUAAUGGUGGGAACUCUAAGGAGACUGCCGGUGACAAACCGGAAGA